rnacentral:tRNA from 1 species
GGGUCCGUAGCUCAGUCUGGCAGAGCACCGGGCUUUUACCAGCAAUACGCAGCUUGCAGCGACCUGUGUAGAAUAUGGCUCCAAUAUACACGUUUUAGUUGGUUCUGAAAGAUACCCGGCCGUCGUGGGUUCAAAUCCCACCGGACCCG